rnacentral:rRNA from 1 species
GAUGAACGCUGGCGGCGUGCCUAAUACAUGCAAGUCGAGCGAACAGACGAGGAGCUUGCUCCUCUGACGUUAGCGGCGGACGGGUGAGUAACACGUGGAUAACCUACCUAUAAGACCGGGAUAACUUCGGGAAACCGGAGCUAAUACCGGAUAAUAUAUUGAACCGCAUGGUUCAAUAGUGAAAGACGGUUUUGCUGUCACUUAUAGAUGGAUCCGCGCCGCAUUAGCUAGUUGGUAAGGUAACGGCUUACCAAGGCGACGAUGCGUAGCCGACCUGAGAGGGUGAUCGGCCACACUGGAACUGAGACACGGUCCAGACUCCUACGGGAGGCAGCAGUAGGGAAUCUUCCGCAAUGGGCGAAAGCCUGACGGAGCAACGCCGCGUGAGUGAUGAAGGUCUUCGGAUCGUAAAACUCUGUUAUUAGGGAAGAACAAAUGUGCAAGUAACUAUGCACGUCUUGGCGGUACCUAAUCAGAAAGCCACGGCUAACUACGUG